CAAAGUGUAGCUUAAAUAAAAGCAUCUAGUUUACACCUAGAAGAUAUCCUAACUCACAGAUCACUUUGA
rnacentral:tRNA from 1 species